rnacentral:misc_RNA from 1 species
GAUGAAGAACGUAGUGAAAUGCGAUAAGUAAUGUGAAUUGCAGAAUUCAGUGAAUCAUCGAAUCUUUGAACGCACAUUGCGCCCCCUGGUAUUCCGGGGGGCAUGCCUGUUCGAGCGUCAUUUCACCACUCAAGCCUCGCUUGGUAUUGGGCAACGCGGUCCGCCGCGUGCCUCAAAUCGACCGGCUGGGUCUUCUGUCCCCUAAGCGUUGUGGAAACUUUCGCUAAAGGGUGUUCGGGAGGCUACGCCGUAAAACAACCCCAUUUCUAAGGUUGACCUCGGAUCAGGUAGGGAUACCCGCUGAACUUAAGCAUAUCAAUAAGCGAGGA